CGGGGUGAGUAACGCGUGGGCAACCUGCCUUGCACUGGGGGAUAACAGCCAGAAAUGGCUGCUAAUACCGCAUAAGACCGAAGCGCCGCAUGGCGCGGCGGCCAAAGCCCCGGCGGUGCAAGAUGGGCCCGCGUCUGAUUAGGUAGUUGGCGGGGUAACGGCCCACCAAGCCGACGAUCAGUGGCCGACCUGAGAGGGUGACCGGCCACAUUGGGACUGAGACACGGCCCAG
rnacentral:rRNA from 1 species